rnacentral:rRNA from 1 species
UACGGAGGGGCUAGCGUUGUUCGGAAUUACUGGGCGUAAAGCGCGCGUAGGCGGACCUGCAAGUCGGGGGUGAAAGCCCGAGGCUCAACCUCGGAACUGCCUUCGAUACUGCGGGUCUCGAGUCCGGGAGAGGUGAGUGGAACUGCGAGUGUAGAGGUGAAAUUCGUAGAUAUUCGCAAGAACACCAGUGGCGAAGCGGCUCACUGGCCCGGAACUGACGCUGAGGUGCGAAAGCGUGGGGAGCAAACAGG